CCUACGGGUGGCAGCAGUGAGGAAUAUUGGUCAAUGGGCUUACGCCUGAACCAGCCAAGUCGCGUGAGGGAAGACUGCUCUAUGGGUUGUAAACCUCUUUUGUCAGGGAGCAACGCCGGCUACGUGUAGCCGGACUGAGAGUACCCGAAGAAACAGCAUCGGCUAACUCCGUGCCAGCAGCAGCGGUAAAACGGGGGAUGCGAGCGUUACCCGGAUUUAUUGGGUUUAAGGGGUGCGUAGGCGGAUUGUUAAGUCAGCGGGAAAAUGCCCGGGCCCAACCCGGGACGGCCGUUGAAACUGGGGAUCUUGAGUGGACGAGAAGUAUGCGGAAUGCGUGGUGUAGCGGUGAAAUGCAUAGAUAUCACGCAGAACUCCGAUUGCGAAGGCAGCUUACUAAACUAUAACUGACACUGAAGCACGAAAGCGUGGGGAUCAAACAGGAUUAGAUACCCUGGUAGUC
rnacentral:rRNA from 1 species